rnacentral:rRNA from 1 species
GGGUUGUGAGGUUAAGCGACUAAGCGUACACGGUGGAUGCCCUGGCAGUCAGAGGCGAUGAAGGGCGUGCUAAUCUGCGAUAAGCGCCGGUAAGGUGAUAUGAACCGUUAUAACCGGCGAUACCCGAAUGGGGAAACCCAGUGUGUUUCGACACACUAUCAUUAACUGAAUCCAUAGGUUAAUGAGGCGAACCGGGGGAACUGAAACAUCUAAGUACCCCGAGGAAAAGAAAUCAACCGAGAUUCCCCCAGUAGCGGCGAGCGAACGGGGAGGAGCCCAGAGCCUGAAUCAGCAUGUGUGUUAGUGGAAGCGUCUGGAAAGGCGCGCGAUACAGGGUGACAGCCCCGUACACAAAAGCGCAUGUGCUGUGAGCUCGAUGAGUAGGGCGGGACACGUGGUAUCCUGUCUGAAUAUGGGGGGACCAUCCUCCAAGGCUAAAUACUCCUGACUGACCGAUAGUGAACCAGUACCGUGAGGGAAAGGCGAAAAGAACCCCGGCGAGGGGAGUGAAAAAGAACCUGAAACCGUGUACGUACAAGCAGUGGGAGCACCCUUUGGGGUGUGACUGCGUACCUUUUGUAUAAUGGGUCAGCGACUUAUAUUCUGUAGCAAGGUUAACCGAAUAGGGGAGCCGGAGGGAAACCGAGUCUUAACCGGGCGUUAAGUUGCAGGGUAUAGACCCGAAACCCGGUGAUCUAGCCAUGGGCAGGUUGAAGGUUGGGUAACACUAACUGGAGGACCGAACCGACUAAUGUUGAAAAAUUAGCGGAUGACCUGUGGCU